rnacentral:rRNA from 1 species
GACGAACGCUGGCGGCGUGCCUAACACAUGCAAGUCGAGCGAUGAAACCCUUCGGGGUGGAUUAGCGGCGGACGGGUGAGUAACACGUGGGUAACCUGCCUCAAAGAGGGGGAUAGCCUCCCGAAAGGGAGAUUAAUACCGCAUAACAUUAUUUCUUCGCAUGAAGAGAUAAUCAAAGGAGUAAUCCGCUUUGAGAUGGACCCGCGGCGCAUUAGCUAGUUGGUGAGGUAAUGGCUCACCAAGGCGACGAUGCGUAGCCGACCUGAAAGGGUGAUCGGCCACAUUGGAACUGUGAUAGGGUCCAGACUCCGACGGGAGGCGGUAGUGGGGAGUAUUGCGCAAUGGGCGAAAGCCUGACGCGGCAAGGCCGCGGGCGGGAUGACGGCCUUCGGGUUGUAAACCGCUUUCAGCAGGGAAGAAGCCGCAAGGUGACGGUACCUGCAGAAGAAGCACCGGCUAACUACGUGCCAGCCGCCGCAGUAAUAC